rnacentral:tRNA from 1 species
GGCUUUCUGGCUCAGCCGGGCGGUUCGUAGCGGAUUCAUAAUGCUGAUGUCCCAGGUUCAAGUCCCGGUGUAGCCACCA